rnacentral:rRNA from 1 species
AUUGAACGCUGGCGGCAGGCUUAACACAUGCAAGUCGAGCGGAGAGAGGUAGCUUGCUACUGAUCUUAGCGGCGGACGGGUGAGUAAUGCUUAGGAAUCUGCCUAUUAGUGGGGGACAACAUUUCGAAAGGAAUGCUAAUACCGCAUACGUCCUACGGGAGAAAGCAGGGGAUCUUCGGACCUUGCGCUAAUAGAUGAGCCUAAGUCGGAUUAGCUAGUUGGUGGGGUAAAGGCCUACCAAGGCGACGAUCUGUAGCGGGUCUGAGAGGAUGAUCCGCCACACUGGGACUGGGACACGGCCCAGACUCCUACGGGAGGCAGCAGUGGGGAAUAUUGGACAAUGGGCGCAAGCCUGAUCCGGCCAUGCCGCGUGUGUGAAGAAGGCCUUAUGGUUGUAAAGCACUUUAAGCGAGGAGGAGGCUACUUUAGUUAAUACCUAGAGAUAGUGGACGUUACUCGCAGAAUAAGCACCGGCUAACUCUGUGCCAGCCGCCGCCGUAA